ACCAUACAUACUCGGCAGAUUGUGAUCAAUCAAGACAAGGCAAACAUGGCUCACAAUUUUGAACUGCUGCGCCGUCUUGCAAGAGAGUGAGAUUCAGCAACACAUAGAAAGACCACAGCAUGGAUUAAGAGACAGGAAGAAUCCAUUUGAAUACGAGGAUGAACCUCUCAGAGUGGGGUACCAACAGAGAGGACCACACAUUGCCUGUCAUGUUACAGGUUUUGACAGGACUUUGUUUUUAUGCCAUUGGUACCUUUUAGAAGAUGCAAGCAGACGAAGCAACUAUAUCACAGUCAUCCGUGUGCAGAAUCAUCAAAGAUUUUUCUGAGGCAAUAGCAAGGAGUAAUAGUUAAUGAAGUUUCCAAUGACAAGAAAUUCAAACCACCCAUCGACAAUUUGAUGAUUGCUACAGGUUUCCAAGAGUCAUAGGUGCUAUCGAUUGGGGCCAAUCCGGGCCA